UACGUAGGUGGCAAGCGUUGUCCGGAUUUACUGGGCGUAAAGAGCGCGCAGGCGGUCGGAUCAGUCGAAUGUGAAAGCCCCCGGCUCAACUGGGGAGGGUCAUUCGAUACUGUCCGACUCGAAGGCAGGAGGAGGGAAGCGGAAUUCCCGGUGUAGUGGUGAAAUGCGUAGAUAUCGGGAGGAACACCAGUGGCGAAGGCGGCUUUCUGGCCUGUUCUUGACGCUGAGGCGCGAAAGCUAGGGGAGCGAACGGGG
rnacentral:rRNA from 1 species